CCAAGUUAUGCAGUGUGACAACUAUCAUGAGAGUGUGUUACAUUAGAAAAAAAAAAACCAAACCUUCAGGAGUUUUUGGUGCAGAUUCAGAUGGUUUUGUUUAGCAAAAUUACUGAAAAAUCUGAUUUCCUGCCAGGAACAUACUUACCUUGCAGACAAAACUAUUUGGUCUUUUAUAGCCCCCACUAGAGGCUACACCUGUUUGAGCCUUUAUAUAAAAUGUUAGUAUUUUUCUCCCCCACUGGCAGUAAGAUCACAGGUUACAAGGGGAAGGAGUACUUUAUACUUGCAGUCAAACACAUUGCAUAUUUUAAUUAAGAGUGGUCAAGUUGGGUACUUGACUGAGUGUUUAGAUGAAAUGGCCCUGGUGGGAGGAGGCAUGGGAAGUGCGAGGAGAUGUUGCACUGACUUCUUAAAAUUUGUUUUCCUGGCAGACUCGAUCAGCAGGACCUGCCUUACGAGCUGCCAUCUCUAGGAACCGGAGCAAAAGUUGCCCUCGGAGCCCAUGGGAACAGGUCAUGGACAAAGCUGCUUUCACAAAUUCCUUGUACUGAACUGUCAUGGAGGAUCCUGUUACAGUUCUUGUUUCUUCCUCUUGUGGCAGCCUUUGGGAAUGCCUCAUGUCCCACCAUGAAGAAACUCAGAAUGAGUUUAGAGCUGUUUGAAGGCUGCUGGAAAUAACGCUGUCUGGAGCACCCUGCUGGAGUGAGGUCACCCUGUAGCUGCUGAACUUCUGGACAUGUCUGGUCUGCUUCUGAGAGGUCUGCAAUGCCUACAGGUUUACGUUCACUGUACAGGGAGGUUUUGCUUUAUUUGGAGGGGGGAAAAAAAAAGUUGUCCACAGAUCCAGGGUCAAAAGUCCUGUGACAGCCAGGAGAUGGUUUUAAUUUGAUUGUCCUCAUCUUACAGUGUGGCCUUUAACUUCAGGAGGCAGAAGGUAAGGGUGAAGCUAUCUAUACCCAGAUAGAGUACUGGCAGUUCUGAUCUGAGGUUCACCACACCUCAGAGAAAACUCCUGUGCCAAAGUGGGUAAUUUUCUGUUCCUUUUUGCCUCCACAGUAGUGGAGGGUACAGAAGCAGAUCCGGGCCAGACGCUGGUUGUUCAUGGUGACAUCAGUUUCCGGCUUUGGAUCUGGCUUCCUUGAUGUUUCUGUGCAUAUUGUGGCCUGAUCGAGAGCCCACUGAAAUGUAAAAGAUUAUUACUGGUGGCUUGGAGGGCUUUAGAGCUGGCCUUCAGGAUAGUCCAUGUCUCAAGACAUUGCUGAUCAGUACUCAGUGGGCAGAGGAGGGCGACCUUUUAGCCAAAUGUAAGAGGUCAGGCUUUUUUGUUAAUAAUGCAAAAGGAAAUUAAUGAAAACCAAGCCUUGGGAGCAUUCCCAGCUGUAGGAGAAACUUUUGCUCUACGAGCAAAUGACUGGAGGGAGUCUGCUUUCCAGUGGAUUUGUCUCCCAUUCAUGUUCCCUGUGACAGGCUUACAGGUGGGAACCAGCAUGGAGGGGGCCACUGUGGCUCUACAUGUGUGCAUUGCCCAGUUUAGUGGUGCCAAGCAGAGUUUGUGCCUCUGUGUGGGGUGAAGGCAGCCAGCAAAGGAAGUGGGAUGGGGAGGAGAAGACAGGUACAGCUACUCCCAGUGUCAAUGUGGAGCUGCUGAGUGGCAGCAGCCGCCAGGUAUGUUACUCUGGAGGGGAGUCGGGGUGCGAGGGAGCAGGGGUGGGAGAGAUGAGGGUGCUCUCCUUUCCAGUGGAGGAGAGGGUUCCAGCAGGGAGGAAAGGACAUGGAGGUGGAAAUGCUAGCUCAGAAGGCAUCUGGGGAUUACUGGGAAGUGUCUCCUCCCUCACCGGAAAACUUGUGUCUGGGCCUGUGUCUUGCAGGUGGAAAUCCCUGCAUGGGGCUGGUGCAACCUUCUACCCCGCUCUGUAACCGGGGAAGAUUAUUGAACUCCCACCCUGCACAGCAGGCACCUGUGACACCGCGGCCAUGGCUGUCAGAAAUGAGGCAGUCACACAGGGCCAUCUGAAAAUUAUAGUCACAGCCCUCACUUUGUCUGAGACUGGGCUCUCUGGCUGGACUGUCUCCAUCUGAAAGUACCCAAAAUUGAUGUGGAUCCUCUGGGGCAUUGUGCAGUUUGGUUAGUCCAAGUCAAUUAAAAAUGAAAUGAAAUACUAUGUUUCGAUCUUCUUUACAAACCAAGCUUUUAAAAAUUUUUUGGCAGAAACAACUUUUUUCCCCUCAUGGAAAAUUUCUGUUUUCUCAGAAUUCUCUUUCAGAAGAUCUCCCCUGUGGAAAAUUCCCAACCAGCUCCAAUUCUAAAACCUGAUGCCAGAAAACGUCUAGCAGGCAUUAGCAGAGGGCGACUCGGGGUGUAAUGUAUCAUUUAAUCCUAACUAGGGCAACAUAGCCACAUGAACUUGAGAACAUGAGCAGGCGCUCACCAUCCCUAACUCAACAUGCAGUAGGCAAUCCAUCAAAAACACAGAUGCAGAACAGGGAAAAGGAGUUAUAAUCAUUUUCAGUUACGAAAGCUCAGUUCUACCCUGAGAAAGAAACUGGCAAAAUGUCAUCAAAUGCACCUUAUCUGCUUCCUCUUACCGACUUCCAAAACUGAAGUGUUUGCUUUACAAAUAAGAUGCUUUUUUUUUUUUUUUUUUUUUUAAAGCAGUUUCACCAACAACCAGUCUGAGAGAGAAAAAGGUUUCCUCCUCCUUUAAGAAGUAUGCUGGGGAGAAAAUUCUCUGGCAUGUUUGCAGGCACAACAGACUUAAAUGUUGAAGUUGGUUCUGUUGAAGCACAAGAAAUAAUAGUCUCCAGUCCUUUUCCCACAGCUCUGCCGCUUUUCUACUUGGAAGAGAGACCAGCUGACUGAGGAAGUACCAUUCCCUUCAGCAGAAAAAGGAUUUGGGAUUCAAGCCUGUCUCAAAAGUCCCUUAGGAGGCAGACUCUGGCAGAAAGAAUUUGCCUAUGGCUGGCAAGCCGGGUGAGGAUGAAAGUCCUGGAAAAAUACCCUUCAUGAUGGAAUUCUGCAGGGGGCCCUGAUCUCAAUCCCUGGCCUGUAAGAUCACCAGGCUAAAGUGCUGCUGCCAUGUUUGUGAAGCCAGAGCCCUGUCCUGUGAGUGUACCAGACACUAAAUAGGAGUGGCCCAGGGCUUCCUGCUGCUGCUGAACCAUCAGUUUUGUUUCAAAGAAAAGAAGAGAAGGAACAAAAGGCUCGAUCCAUGAUAGCUGUAGUAGGGAUUGACAUGUUACCCCAGCUGGUGUGGCACACGCACCCAGGAGAGACAAGAAAUUCAGCUCAGGUCAGCUGCAGAUGAAUGCUGUGACUUUGCAUGGAAACUACUGGAUUGGUUCUCUACCUUUGGCUACAGAUGUAUUGAGAGACUUCGUAUCACUUUUCCCCAGCUGGCAUCCCGGCUUUAGAUUUCGUCUCUGUGAUGAGAGCUGCCCAGUGGACCAUUGGACUGGAGACAAAGGAGGUAACAUAGUGUUUCUUGUACAGAGAGCUGUGGGUGAGGCAGAGUGUAGGCAGGGCUAAGGCUAUGCCCAACAGUGAUGAAAGGGGUAGAAAGCAGGAUAACCUGG